UAUCCGUAGGUGAACCUGCGGAAGGAUCAUUCAUAAUCAGUGUUUUAUGGCACUUUUUUAAAUCCAUAUCCACCUUGUGUGCAAUGUCAGGGUUGAUUUUUCUCUCGAGAGGAUCAACCCCAAACAUCAACAAUAUCUCAACUCUUUGUCUGAAAAAUAUUAUGAAUAAAACAAUUCAAAAUACAACUUUCAACAACGGAUCUCUUGGCUCUC
rnacentral:misc_RNA from 1 species